UCUUCCAGGAGCCCAACUACCCCUCUUUUAGGAGACCACCGGUCGUCUCCUGAUUAUGCUCUUAGCGCCCUACGCUACCCCUCCCCGGCUGAUCGGCGGCGCGUCAUCGUGAGGGGCGACACCGCCCCUCCGAAGUGGUAAAUACCAGCGCCCUCCCCUGCGCAUCUCAUUCUGCUCUGAUCAGUGCUCUUGUGAUCAGUUUUGUUUCUCUCGUUCCGUUAUUCUCCUUCGCUCAUUUACUGUAAUUUUUCAAUCAUGAAUUUCUACAACCUUCUCUUCGCCAUUGGUGCCUGCUGUUUCCCGACCGAACAAAUCCAAAUGUUCGAUGAACUACCUGUUGAGCUCGUGAUUCAAAUUUUAAGCUUUUUGGAUCCGAAGUCUCUGUCAAUUAUGUCACGCAUGAAUAAGCGCUUAUUUCACAUUUGCAAGAACAACAAAGGUCUUAGAACUACGAUCAGAAGAUACCUUCGCAAGGAACGAAAAGAGCAACUCAAGAAAAUGCUGAACCCAGUCAAAGUCAGAGUUCUCAGGAGAGAACCCGAAAACACGGAUGUAGUAUUUCAACGCCAAAAUACUAGGAGAGAAGCUAUUGUCACUCGAAAUUUCGAGCCCUCCCAAGUUUCACAACGCCGCUCCGAAGACCCACUUGUAGUAUUUCGCCGCCAGAACACUAUAGAAACGGAGCUGAUAAUUUCGAGUCCACGCAAGUUUUGCCAACGAUGAAACGCCCGAUUGCAGCUGCCGUCUCUAAAAAACGAUCACGUGGUGGUCAGGAGAAGAACCCGGGACCAGGACUCGCCAAGAGGAUGCGGAUUUGAAUUGUCUUACGCGACUUAGAUUUUAAAUUCACUCGUUUUGUACCUUGAUUUUUAUAGUUUGUUAGAUUUUAAUAGUUGUUGUUUGUACAGUAUUGUUAUAUUUUAUUACUAUUGUAUGUAAAUAUUGUUUUUGUUAAUUAAAAUUGUAUGUCAUAAAACAC
rnacentral:lncRNA from 1 species